UACAGAGGAGCCAAGCGUUGUCCGGAUUGACUGGGCGUAAAGCGCACGCAGGCGGAUGCGCGCGUGGGGUGUGAAAUCUGGCCGCUUAACGGCCAGGCGCCAUCCCAUACGGCGCGUCUGGAGUGAUGUAGAGGUCGAUGGAAUUGCCGGUGUAGUGGUGAAAUGCGUAGAGAUCGGCAGGAACACCCAGGGGGAAACCAGUCGACUGGGCAUCUACUGACGCUGAGGUGCGAGAGCGUGGGGAGCGAACCGG
rnacentral:rRNA from 1 species